rnacentral:rRNA from 1 species
UGCGUAGGCGGGGCAAUUAGUCAGUGGUGAAAUCCUGCGGCUUAACCGUAGAACUGCCAUUGAUACUGUUGCCCUUGAGUAUAGUUGAGGUGGGCGGAAUGUGUAAUGUAGCGGUGAAAUGCAUAGAGAUUACACAGAACACCAAUUGCGAAGGCAGCUCACUAAACUAUAACUGACGCUGAGGCACGAAAGCGUGGGGAGCGGACAGGAUUAGAUACCCUGGUAGUCC